rnacentral:rRNA from 1 species
GAACGCUGGCGGCGUGCCUAAUACAUGCAAGUCGAGCGAACGGACGAGAAGCUUGCUUUUCUGAUGUUAGCGGCGGACGGGUGAGUAACACGUGGAUAACCUACCUAUAAGACUGGGAUAACUUCGGGAAACCGGAGCUAAUACCGGAUAAUAUUUUGAACCGCAUGGUUCAACAGUGAAAGACGGUCUUGCUGUCACUUAUAGAUGGAUCCGCGCUGCAUUAGCUAGUUGGUAAGGUAACGGCUUACCAAGGCAACGAUGCAUAGCCGACCUGAGAGGGUGAUCGGCCACACUGGAACUGAGACACGGUCCAGACUCCUACGGGAGGCAGCAGUAGGGAAUCUUCCGCAAUGGGCGAAAGCCUGACGGAGCAACGCCGCGUGAGUGAUGAAGGUCUUCGGAUCGUAAAACUCUGUUAUUAGGGAAGAACAUAUGUGUAAGUAACUGUGCACAUCUUGACGGUACCUAAUCAGAAAGCCACGGCUAACUACGUG